AUACGGAGGACGCGAGCGUUAUCCGGAUUCAUUGGGUUUAAAGGGUGCGCAGGCGGCCGUGCAAGUCAGCGGUGAAAGCCCGGGGCUCAACCCCGGAAGUGCCGUUGAUACUGCGUGGCUGGAAUGCGGUCGAGGCGGGCGGAACGUGGCGGGUAGCGGGGAAAUGCGUAGAUAUGCCACAGAACGCCGAUAGCGGAGGCAGCUCGCCAGGCCUGCAUUGACGCUCGGGCACGAAAGCGUGGGGAUCGAACAGGAUUAGAUACCCUGGUAGUCCACGCCGUAAACGAUGGGCGCUCGUCGUCGGCGACAGACAGUCGGCGGCCAAGCGAAAGCGAUAAGCGCCCCACCUGGGGAGUACGGUCGCAAGGCUGAAACUCAAAUGAAUUGACGGGG
rnacentral:rRNA from 1 species